UCGGGUCCUGGGCGGGCGGGCAGGGGUUGGGGGGAGAAAGGGGCGGAAACCAGAAAGGCUAAAAAUACCACGAGCACUUCCGGCCCAGGGGGAGGAGAACGGAGAGCAGAGUUUCCAGAAAAACAAGCGGGGACGGGAAACGCGGGGGUGUGAGAGCCCGUGUGAGUGCGGGGCGAGCAGGGGCCGGUGUACUCACGGCACGUGUGCCCGGCUGCGUGUGUGCCCGGCGUGAUUGCCUGGGCGGCCGCGGGUGUGGCCAAGGCUGGGGCUGGCCGUGUGUGCCCCGGUGUGAGACUGCUGGUGUGCACCACUAGUGUGAAUAGUGUGCUCCUGCAGAUUGACUAACCACCAGCGCUGGAGCCAACUGGAUGUGGGGAGGCCGUGAAUUGCCAUUGCUCUGCAGCUGUCUUUGAGUUGGAUUUAUGGGACUGCACUGUCCACACCGCUGCCAUCUGUACAUAGCUCUGAGCCACUGUGGGAUCUGGAGUGACUAAGCCCCAACCACCGUGGCCUGGACUUCUCCCAUCACAAACUUGACCACUGUUGAGUUGUCCCUGUUUGGGGUUACACUUGUCACUGCACUAAACUGCAAGUUCUGUGAGAGUAAGGAUCAGGGCAACAAUGUGUCUCCAGCAUCAGAUGAAGCCCAGGUCUGUCCCAGAGGAGGUACCCAGUGAAUGAGCCGACUGAUGGUUCAUGAAAAUCCCAGGGACUGAGGUAAGAAUGUGGGCACCCAGUGCCCAGAAGACCCCUUACCAGACACAGCUCCAGCUGGUCACAGAGUGCGUAGAACUCCUCCAGGCACUUGUCAAAGCGCUGUAUGGGUCCAUCGCUGCUCUUUCUAGCAUCCGGGAGAAAAGAGGGGAAUGGAUUUCCAAUCUCUGAGGCACCAGGGUCUACACAACUAAGUGUUCAUCAGGAAACCAGGGACAGGCCCAGGGGAUCUGAAGCAGAGCUUGAAAUUAGGAGGGUGGUGGGGGGAGGAAUUUCUAAGGCUGGGGUGGAGAGAGGGUAUCCUGGGGAAAGAGGGCUGCACUUACUGUCCAUUGUCAAUGUUAGUGUUCUGAAUCAAGUUCUGCGCUGCAACCUUCAUCAAGGUCUAGUUUAAAAAGAAAGAAAAAGAUGCGGGAGAUAGAGAAACAGAGAGGAUAAUUUUGUUAGAUCUACGCUCUUCCUUGAGAUAACACCCAGCCUUAGUCCUCCUCUUCAUUUGGCAUCUCCCUCCUGACACUCCAGAAUAAUGCUGAUUUCCAUUCCUAUAUCAGACACUGGUAUUUUCCCGGAAGCCUGCCCUCGCCUGGGGUUUCACCAACAAUCUCCAUUAUCCACCAAUCACGGGCAGAAGCUACGAAUAGACACUCCUUUCCACAGGCUUUAACGACCAGAGGCGGGCUUUCCCCUUACACCCCUUCCCACUCAAGUUCUGGCCAAUCCCAGCCUCAACAUCUACAUUGAUCCCGCCCCACAAUGUCACUCCACAGAGCUUCGCUUUGGCAUCACA